CUAGUCUCGCCCUGUCGUUGGCUAUCAACGGCACGGCUUUGACAGGCCGUCAC
rnacentral:ncRNA from 1 species